AAGUCGUAACAAGGUCUCCGUAGGUGAACCUGCGGAGGGAUCAUUACUGAGUGAAGGGCCUCGGGCCCGACCUCCAACCCCCUGUGAUUACCACCCCGUUGCUUCGGGGGCGCCCCCGCCGCCCGCGGCGCCGGGCCCCCCGGAGGUGACCACCAACUCUGUUGUCCUCUGCGUCGGAGUAUUGAUUUUCAAUCAGUUAAAACUUUCAACAACGGAUCUCUUGGUUCUG
rnacentral:misc_RNA from 1 species